rnacentral:rRNA from 1 species
GAUGAACGCUAGCGGCAGGCUUAAUACAUGCAAGUCGAGGGGCAGCACGGUUAGCAAUAACUGGUGGCGACCGGCGCACGGGUGCGUAACACGUAUACAAUCUACCUUAAACAGGGGGAUAGCCUUUCGAAAGAGAGAUUAAUACCCCGUAAUAAAUUGAACGGCAUCGUUUGAUUUUGAAAGCUCCGGCGGUUUGAGAUGAGUAUGCGUCUGAUUAGCUAGUUGGUGAGGUAACGGCUCACCAAGGCGACGAUCAGUAGGGGAUCUGAGAGGACUAACCCCCACACUGGUACUGAGACACGGACCAGACUCCUACGGGAGGGCAGCAGUUAAA